UACAGUGGUCCCAAGCGUUGUUCGGAUUCACUGGGCGUAAAGGGUGCGUAGGUGGCUUGGUAAGUUUGAUGUGAAAUCUCCGGGCUUAACCCGGAAAAUGCAUUGAAUACUAUUUGAGCUCGAGGUUUGGAGGGGGGACUGGAAUUCUUGGUGUAGCAGUGAAAUGCGUAGAUAUCAAGAGGAACACCAGUGGCGAAGGCGAGUCCCUGGACAACACCUGACACUGAGGCACGAAAGCUAGGGGAGCAAACAGG
rnacentral:rRNA from 1 species